UUGAUUGUACAAGUUACUUGAUAAACAAAUAAGAAUCAUGAAGCUGUGUAUUACUUUAGUCGUGAUUGGUAUACUUGGUGCAUUUUCAGGACCACAAACUGUGUCCGGACAUAUUGCGGAAAUUGCGAAAAAGCUCACUGCUGCUAUUUAUGACGGAGACCUUGCGGCUGUUGAACGAAGCUAACGCUGAAAAUGUGAACUCUUUAAAUGAUCUGGGAGAGAAUACUUUGCAUGUUGCCAUUUCAAUGAACAAUGCCCAGAUUGUUGAGAAAUUAAUCCAAAGAGGUGCUAAUGUCAAUCAUAUUGCCCUGGAUGGAAGGUCUGCCCUAGAAAAGGCCAGAGGCAAAGCGGAAAUAGAAGAAUUGCUACGCAAACAUGGAGCCCACUGAAAGCCGCUGACAGUCUGGCGAGCAACAAAAUCUUUAACAGUUUAACACAAAUGAUAUUGUUUUGACAACAGAAUGAUAAUGUGAUUUUACUCAGCUUAAA